AAAUUGAAGAGUUUGAUCAUGGCUCAGAUUGAACGCUGGCGGCAGGCCUAACACAUGCAAGUCGAGCGGUAGCACAGGGAGCUUGCUCCUGGGUGACGAGCGGCGGACGGGUGAGUAAUGUCUGGGAAACUGCCUGAUGGAGGGGGAUAACUACUGGAAACGGUAGCUAAUACCGCAUAACGUCGCAAGACCAAAGAGGGGGA
rnacentral:rRNA from 1 species